rnacentral:rRNA from 1 species
GUCCACGCCGUAAACGAUGAGUGCUAGGUGUUAGGGGUUUCGAUACCCUUGGUGCCGAAGUUAACACAUUAAGCACUCCGCCUGGGGAGUACGGUCGCAAGACUGAAACUCAAAGGAAUUGACGGGGACCCGCACAAGCAGUGGAGUAUGUGGUUUAAUUCGAAGCAACGCGAAGAACCUUACCAGGUCUUGACAUCCCUCUGACCGGUACAGAGAUGUACCUUUCCUUCGGGACAGAGGAGACAGGUGGUGCAUGGUU